GACGAACGCUGGCGGCGUGCUUAACACAUGCAAGUCGAACGGAAAGGCCCUGCUUUUGUGGGGUGCUCGAGUGGCGAACGGGUGAGUAACACGUGAGUAACCUGCCCUUGACUUUGGGAUAACUUCAGGAAACUGGGGCUAAUACCGGAUAGGAGCUCCUGCUGCAUGGUGGGGGUUGGAAAGUUUCGGCGGUUGGGGAUGGACUCGCGGCUUAUCAGCUUGUUGGUGGGGUAGUGGCUUACCAAGGCUUUGACGGGUAGCCGGCCUGAGAGGGUGACCGGCCACAUUGGGACUGAGAUACGGCCCAGACUCCUACGGGAGGCAGCAGUGGGGAAUAUUGCACAAUGGGCGGAAGCCUGAUGCAGCAACGCCGCGUGCGGGAUGACGGCCUUCGGGUUGUAAACCGCUUUCGCCCGUGACGAAGCGUGAGUGACGGUAAUGGGUAAAGAAGCACCGGCUAACUACGUGCCAGCAGCCGCGGUGAUACGUAGGGUGCGAGCGUUGUCCGGAUUUAUUGGGCGUAAAGGGCUCGUAGGUGGUUGAUCGCGUCGGAAGUGUAAUCUUGGGGCUUAACCCUGAGCGUGCUUUCGAUACGGGUUGACUUGAGGAAGGUAGGGGAGAGUGGAGUUCCUGGUGGAGCGGUGGAAUGCGCAGAUAUCAGGAGGAACACCAGUGGCGAAGGCGGUUCUCUGGGCCUUUCCUGACGCUGAGGAGCGAAAGCGUGGGGAGCGAACAGGCUUAGAUACCCUGGUAGUCCACGCUGUAAACGGUGGGUACUAGGUGUGGGGUCCAUUCCACGGGUUCCGUGCCGUAGCUAACGCUUUAAGUACCCCGCCUGGGGAGUACGGCCGCAAGGCUAAAACUCAAAGGAAUUGACGGGGCCCCGCACAAGCGGCGGAGCAUGCGGAUUAAUUCGAUGCAACGCGUAGAACCUUACCUGGGUUUGACAUGGAUCGGGAGUGCUCAGAGAUGGGUGUGCCUCUUUUGGGGUCGGUUCACAGGUGGUGCAUGGCUGUCGUCAGCUCGUGUCGUGAGAUGUUGGGUUAAGUCCCGCAACGAGCGCAACCCUUGUUCACUGUUGCCAGCACGUUAUGGUGGGGACUCAGUGGAGACCGCCGGGGUCAACUCGGAGGAAGGUGGGGAUGACGUCAAGUCAUCAUGCCCCUUAUGUCCAGGGCUUCACGCAUGCUACAAUGGCUGGUACAGAGAGUGGCGAGCCUGUGAGGGUGAGCGAAUCUCGGAAAGCCGGUCUCAGUUCGGAUUGGGAUCUGCAACUCGACCUCAUGAAGUCGGAGUCGCUAGUAAUCGCAGAUCAGCAACGCUGCGGUGAAUACGUUCCCGGG
rnacentral:rRNA from 1 species